rnacentral:rRNA from 1 species
AUUGAACGCUGGCGGCAUGCCUUACACAUGCAAGUCGAACGGCAGCACGGGUGCUUGCACCUGGUGGCGAGUGGCGAACGGGUGAGUAAUACAUCGGAACAUGUCCUGUAGUGGGGGAUAGCCCGGCGAAAGCCGGAUUAAUACCGCAUACGAUCCACGGAUGAUAGCGGGGGCCCUUCGGGCCUCGCGCUAUAGGGUUGGCCGAUGGCUGAUUAGCUAGUUGGUGGGGUAAAGGCCUACCAAGGCGACGAUCAGUAGCUGGUCUGAGAGGACGACCAGCCACACUGGGACUGAGACACGGCCCAGACUCCUACGGGAGGCAGCAGUGGGGAAUUUUGGACAAUGGGCGAAAGCCUGAUCCAGCAAUGCCGCGUGUGUGAAGAAGGCCUUCGGGUUGUAAAGCACUUUUGUCCGGAAAGAAAUCCUUGACUCUAAUACAGUCGGGGGAUGACGGUACCGGAAGAAUAAGCACCGGCUAACUACGUG